rnacentral:pre_miRNA from 1 species
UGUCUAAAUAUUCAUCUAUUUCUAUAAUUAAAAACUGACGUGACUAAUAGAAUAGCCAAAUAGUUACACAUAACAUGUAAGGUGUGCCUCAUGUUGAUAUACAAUAACUAGUUUUUAAUAGUAAAAAUGGACAAUUUUUAAUA